GCGGACGUGGCGGAACUGGUAGACGCAAGGGACUUAAAAUCCCUCGGCCGUAUGGCCAUGGGGGUUCGAGUCCCCCCGCCCGCACCA
rnacentral:tRNA from 2 species